rnacentral:rRNA from 1 species
AUUGAACGCUGGCGGCAGGCCUAACACAUGCAAGUCGAACGAGUGGCGGACGGGUGAGUAAUGUCUGGGAAUCUGCCUGAUGGAGGGGGAUAACUACUGGAAACGGUCGCUAAUACCGCAUACCAUCGGAUGAGCCCAUAUGGGAUUAGCUAGUAGGUGGGGUAAAGGCUCACCUAGGCGACGAUCCCUAGCUGGUCUGAGAGGAUGAUCAGCCACACUGGAACUGAGACACGGUCCAGACUCCUCCGGGAGGCAGCAGUGGGGAAUAUUGCACAAUGGGCGCAAGCCUGAUGCAGCCAUGCCGCGUGUAUGAAGAAGGCCUUAGGGUUGUAAAGUACUUUCAGCGGGGAGGCGUUACCCGCAGAAGAAGCACCGGCUAACUCCGUGCCAGCAGCCGCGGUAAUAC